GAUGAACGCUGGCGGCGUGCCUAAUACAUGCAAGUCGAGCGAACAGACGAGGAGCUUGCUCCUCUUACGUUAGCGGCGGACGGGUGAGUAACACGUGGAUAACCUACCUAUAAGACUGGGAUAACUUCGGGAAACCGGAGCUAAUACCGGAUAAUAUAUUGAACCGCAUGGUUCAAUAGUGAAAGACGGUUUUGCUGUCACUUAUAGAUGGAUCCGCGCCGCAUUAGCUAGUUGGUAAGGUAACGGCUUACCAAGGCAACGAUGCGUAGCCGACCUGAGAGGGUGAUCGGCCACACUGGAACUGAGACACGGUCCAGACUCCUACGGGAGGCAGCAGUAGGGAAUCUUCCGCAAUGGGCGAAAGCCUGACGGAGCAACGCCGCGUGAGUGAUGAAGGUCUUCGGAUCGUAAAACUCUGUUAUUAGGGAAGAACAAAUGUGUAAGUAACUAUGCACGUCUUGACGGUACCUAAUCAGAAAGCCACGGCUAACUACGUG
rnacentral:rRNA from 1 species